CCUACGGGUGGCAGCAGUGGGGAAUAUUGGGCAAUGGGCGCAAGCCUGACCCAGCAACGCCGCGUGAAGGAAGAAGGCUUUCGGGUUGUAAACUUCUUUUCUGAGGGACGAAGAAAGUGACGGUACCUCAGGAAUAAGCCACGGCUAACUACGUGCCAGCAGCCGCGGUAAUACGUAGGUGGCAAGCGUUAUCCGGAUUUAUUGGGUGUAAAGGGCGUGUAGGCAGGAAAGCAAGUCAGAUGUGAAAACUCAGGGCUCAACCCUGAGCCUGCAUUUGAAACUGUUUUUCUUGAGUACUGUAGAGGCAGACGGAAUUCCUAGUGUAGCGGUGAAAUGCGUAGAUAUUAGGAGGAACACCAGUGGCGAAGGCGGUCUGCUGGACAGCAACUGACGCUGAGGCGCGAAAGCGUGGGGAGCAAACAGGAUUAGAUACCCUGGUAGUC
rnacentral:rRNA from 1 species